rnacentral:rRNA from 1 species
AGGCAGCAGUGGGGAAUAUUGCACAAUGGGCGCAAGCCUGAUGCAGCCAUGCCGCGUGUAUGAAGAAGGCCUUCGGGUUGUAAAGUACUUUCAGCAGUGAGGAAGGUGGGUAUGUUAAUAGCAUACUCAUUUGACGUUAGCUGCAGAAGAAGCACCGGCUAACUCCGUGCCAGCAGCCGCGGUAAUACGGAGGGUGCGAGCGUUAAUCGGAAUUACUGGGCGUAAAGCGCAUGCAGGUGGUUUGUUAAGUCAGAUGUGAAAGCCCGGGGCUCAACCUCGGAAUUGCAUUUGAAACUGGCAAACUAGAGUACUGUAGAGGGGGUAGAAUUUCAGGUGUAGCGGUGAAAAUGCGUAGAGAUCUGAAGGAAUACCGGUGGCGAAGGCGGCCCCCUGGACAGAUACUGACACUCAGAUGCGAAAGCGUGGGGAGCAAACAGGAUUAGAUACCCUGGUAG